rnacentral:rRNA from 1 species
UACAGAGGGUGCAAGCGUUAAUCGGAAUUACUGGGCGUAAAGCGUGCGCAGACGGUUGCGUAAGUCAGAUGUGAAAGCCCCGGGCUCAACCUGGGAAUUGCAUUUGAGACUGCGUAGCUAGGGUGCGGAAGAGGGAAGCGGAAUUUCCGGUGUAGCGGUGAAAUGCGUAGAUAUCGGAAGGAACACCAGUGGCGAAAGCGGCUUCCUGGUCCAGCACCGACGUUCAGGCAUGAAAGCGUGGGGAGCAAACAGG